GGGGCUAUAGCUCAGUGGUAGAGUGCAUGCUUGAUGCGCACGAGGGCCUGAGUUCAAUCUGCAGUGCCUCUG
rnacentral:tRNA from 1 species